rnacentral:lncRNA from 10 species
CGAAGUAGUAGAACAAUGCAGACAUUUAUUAGAAGUUUGCUCCUUUGAAAUAUUAUUAUUACACUGAAAGUUGGAAAAAAGCUAAACAUCCAUCAGAGGAGGUUGAUUACAUAAAUUAUGAAAGAUCCAUAUUUUUUAAUUCUAUGAAGCCAUAAAAUGAUAAUACUGAUAUGUAUCAUUGAACCCACCACUGAUUGUUUGAUAAAAAUUUCAGAUACCAAGAAUUACAUAUAAAUUAGAGUUGGUUUUGUAAUAUACAGCAUAGAAAUACAUACUUUUCUAUUAUUAAAUAUUUACUGAUUUCUGAAUACUUACACAUGUAUAAGAUAGGUAUUUAGAAAGAUUAAAGAGGGCAUACAGCACACAGACGUUUCUCAUUCCUAUCUCCCAUCUCCUUUCCCAGAGACAGUUUCUAAAACAAAACUGAGGAAAAUACUAACAUCAUUCGUCUAAUAAGAGCAAUGAGGUAUGUAAUACUAAUGAAUCUUAAAACAUAUCAUAUAAAAAACACUAGAUAACUGGACUAAGUAGUGCAAACGUGAAUGUCUAUCUAAAACACACACGUCGCACACACACGAUAAUGAAUGGAAGACGUCCUAGCACAUGUUUACAAACUGUUUGUGUGUUGCCGUCCUACACACCAGACGCAAAGCGCUGAAAACAACAAGCCUGUUCACAAUAGCACCAGGAACGUACAGUACACAGGAAUCAUCUGCAGGUGAUUUGUGACAACUGUAGGCAGAACAGUAAAAGCGAGAGAUACAAUGGAUGGUUUGAAAAAUCAGAGACACUCUUCUUCCUUAUCGAAUUGCAAGAUUAACGUUGUACUACGCAGACAAAGGUGUGUUCAAGAUUUGGAUCGUAAGCGAGUUCACUGAAAACUAGCGGAGGGGAAGGGCAAAUACUGGAAGGGAAUCCCCGGUGUGACCAGGCCAGAAACACCUCUUUUACAGCAUGGGAUCUGUGCAGACAAAGGUGUGUUCAAGAUUUGGAUCGUAAGCGAGUUCACUGAAAACUAGCGGAGGGGAAGGGCAAAUACUGGAAGGGAAUCCCCGGUGUGACCAGGCCAGAAACACCUCUUUCACAGCAUGGGAUCUGUGCAGGUACUCGGACGCUCCCCGCAGGGCCGCCCGGGCCGGUUUCAGGCGGGCUUGCGGCCCCAAUCACUGCUCCUGUUCGCGGGGACAGGCAGGGGCUGACUGGGAGGACGUCUUGUGGAUGGCCUUGUGCUCCUCGGCGGCCUCCUCCCCCGGGUCGCCACCGCCGACCUCCUCGAUG